UGCAUGUGUAUGAAUGUGUGUGUGUGUGUGUGUGUGCGCGCGCACGUACACGCAUAAGCCUACAAUCAC
rnacentral:miRNA from 1 species